CGUACAAAGUGCACGUGUUGUUUAUGUUUGGCCCGAAGGAUAUACCACGUCUCUAACACGACGUUGUAGGUUAAAAGCUUAAUGAUACAAUAAGGUUAAUUGAAAAUACUUAUAAACUGUAAACAACAAUGUGAUAUUGUAAAUAGUUAUAAUGUGGAAUAUACUUACGAAGACAAACUCAAGGAAAACAACUCAACAGCUUUCACUAAGCUAUGUUUUGUUACAAGUUGAGAUAUUUUGCAAAUUUUUAACCACAAUUUCUAUGGAUUAAAUUAAUGGAAGUCAUAUUCACAAGACACAAGUAUUCCAAGAUCUGGUUAAUGACUAAAUGUACAAAUGAAGGUGCAACAUCCCAUUGGAAGAUAAAGUACAUUAUUGGCAAACAGAUACAGGUACAGGUACAAGCUAAUGAGUUCAGAAGUCUUCCAACAAAGUCUCAGCCACCAUAAAUGUCCGAUGCUGAGAAGAUAGAUAAAAUUGUGUAGGUCGGGCAUACCAUAGGUAACCACAUUAUUGUCGAGAUCAAUAGCAACUCAUUUUGCCAACCAGCACUCUGGCAACGCACACAUAUUAAUCUUUUUUGCAAAAAGAUGUUAACGAGAUGCUAGUCACAACAACUUAGUAAUAGGCAACGUUUAUAGCAUGGAGGCAUGUUUAACCAGGGAAUACUCAUCAUGUCAGAAAAUGGCAAUAUUUUGUGUUAUGGCGAUUCAUAUCAGUAA